UACGAAGGGGGCUAGCGUUGCUCGGAAUCACUGGGCGUAAAGCGCACGUAGGCGGCUUCUUAAGUCAGGGGUGAAAUCCUGGAGCUCAACUCCAGAACUGCCUUUGAUACUGAGAGCUUGAGUUCGGGAGAGGUGAGUGGAACUGCGAGUGUAGAGGUGAAAUUCGUAGAUAUUCGCAAGAACACCAGUGGCGAAGGCGGCUCACUGGCCCGAUACUGACGCUGAG
rnacentral:rRNA from 1 species